rnacentral:lncRNA from 1 species
GAAAAAGUAAGCUCCAACUUAAGAUGGCAAUAACUCUCGCAAGCAACAAAUUCUUCGUGUUCAGACUUGAGCUUAUUUCUAAUAAACAAGCAAAAUUUCUUAUUAACUUAGACUCGAAAAGGACAUUCACUGAGAAAAACACCUCUCAUUAAAGGUACUAACUUGUUGGUGGAAACUUCGAUUUAGCAGCAGAGAACAAACUGCAUGGCAGUCUUCAAACAGGCAGCCACCUACAGAGGACCCGGAAAUGUGCCAUUUGCCCUUCGCUCAUUCCAUCUCUCUACCUGCCACACGAUAACAAACCAAAAUUAGGCUUACAUGGCAUUCAUAUAGCAGGUCAGGUGACAGACAAGAACGUAGCAGCAAUCGGGUUGGAGAAACAUACCUGAGGGCUGAGGAAAUUGAUGCAGAAAUUGGUCUAGAGAAAUCGAUGGCAGCGAGGAAAGAAGGAUGAACUUCAGUCAAAGCAGGAUGAACUUGAAUCGGGUUGAAAACUUGAAACUUGCAAUUGAAAUUGAUGCCAGAAAUGAGAAAACGGCCAAGAAUAAACAAAACAGAGAGUGAAAGAAGGAGAUUCAAACCUUUUUUGCUGAGAUCAAUGGUUAAUUGCUUCGUUCUUCUUCAGUUCUUCGUUCUUCGUUCUUCACUUAACCUAAUUGUUAAG